rnacentral:misc_RNA from 1 species
CGGGUGCCUAGUUUCUUUUGGUUCAGUGAGUCAGGAUGCGAACCUCGAGGGGAGCGACGGUCUCCCAGCUUGGGACUUCGCUCAGUAAUUAGUCGAUUAUGCUGUGGAUCUGACUCAGAGCUAGAUGUCCUAAGUGGAUGUGGACCUCGAGGCGACUGCCUUUGAGGCAUUUCUGAACCCCUUGAUCUUGGCAUUUGAUCAGCUUAAGGAAUAUUGGUUGAAGAACUGCAAGGAAUGUAUAGAGAAUUGUUCUCUGAAGAAUCUGGGUAUCUAGCUAAUUGCACAACUAA